rnacentral:rRNA from 1 species
UACGAAGGGUGCAAGCGUUAAUCGGAAUUACUGGGCGUAAAGCGCGUGUAGGUGGUUUGUUAAGUAGGGCGUGAAAGCUCCCGGCUCAACUGGGAGAGGUCGCUCUAAACUGGCAAGCUAGAGGAUGGAAGAGGGAGGUGGAAUUCCGGGUGUAGCGGUGGAAUGCGCAGAUAUCCGGAGGAACACCAGUGGCGAAAGCGGCCUCCUGGUCCAUUCCUGACACUCAGACGCGAAAGCUAGGGUAGCAAACGGGAUUAGAUACCCGCGUAGUCCCUGAG